rnacentral:lncRNA from 13 species
CUGUAGCUCCGCCCACUGGUGAAGCGAUCUCCAGCUCAGAGAAGAUCAGCUCAAGAGAAGUCAAGUGAGAGAAAGUGUUUUCUCACCAGAUAGAAGAACAUUCUCCUGUGGACGUGACAGUUGAAAUACCUUCAAUGGAGGAACACGUUAACACACUUCCGAUCCCACUGCAGAGGAAAAUUCCAGCACAAGGUCGCAUGACCAGGGAAAACACCACCAACAAUAACCUCAUCACAACCUCAGGCCUUGGCUCUACCGGCUGUAACCUCCACUCUGGGGUCCUCUGGAGGAGAGAGGGGCUACCACCAGGAGCCACAGUGAUCUCCAUACAGACUUCCACACUGGGCCUGCAGCCUCCGCUCUGGCUGCUGUCUGCCCCUGGUACUGGCCUGUCUGUCCUGCCAGUGCUCCACACUGAUCCUGGGCCUGUUAGAGGCCUGCUCCUCCUGCCUCCACACCUUCUGCUCCUCCUGCUUCUGCUGCUGUUCCUGCUGCUGUGCUGCCCUCCAGGAAGCACCUGUGUAAGGCCUUACACUGCCACGCCCACUGCCACCAGAUCCUGUUCGAGUCCUGCUGCGAGCCCACCGAGUGUCUGGAGUUCUUUCUGGAAUGUUGUGAGCUCUGCCACAAGAGUUAGUUAG